rnacentral:rRNA from 1 species
UUUUAUGGAGAGUUUGAUCCUGGCUCAGGAUGAACGCUGGCGGCGUGCCUAAUACAUGCAAGUCGAGCGAACUGACGAGGAGCUUGCUCCUUUGACGUUAGCGGCGGACGGGUGAGUAACACGUGGGUAACCUACCUAUAAGACUGGAAUAACUCCGGGAAACCGGGGCUAAUGCCGGAUAACAUAUCGAACCGCAUGGUUCGAUAGUGAAAGACGGUCUUGCUGUCACUUAUAGAUGGACCCGCGCCGUAUUAGCUAGUUGGUGAGGUAACGGCUCACCAAGGCAACGAUACGUAGCCGACCUGAGAGGGUGAUCGGCCACACUGGAACUGAGACACGGUCCAGACUCCUACGGGAGGCAGCAGUAGGGAAUCUUCCGCAAUGGGCGAAAGCCUGACGGAGCAACGCCGCGUGAGUGAUGAAGGU